CUUUCCUAAAAUAUGGCGGCGAUUUUGUCUUUGGGUUUGGCAUCGUUUUACGUACCGUUGCAACUGUUCACCGGUUUAAGGGGAAAGUUCACCUGCCGUUUUAAACCUGGACCACCUGGACGCCGUUCCUCAGUUAGUGAGCAUGUCAAACGACGGCAGAAAUGAACUCACCGAUGACUUGAUCCACGGACUCAGUAAGCUCAUGAAAUCUAAAGAGCACACACGGUCGCUUACAGAGAAACGGGACGACUUCAUCGCGUGGGAAGAUUAUUUCAUGGCUGCAGCCUACUUGGCAGCUAUGAGAAGCAAAGAUCCCAACACACAGGUGGGAUGCGUUAUAGUUAACACAGAGCAGAGAAUCGUCGGUGCGGGAUAUAACGGCAUGCCUAACGGUAUCGACGAUGACAAAGUACCCUGGGCCAGGACCGCCGAGCGUCCAAUAGACACGAAGUACCCCUUUGUCUGCCAUGCAGAAAUGAAUGCAAUCUUCAACAGAAACUGCUUUGAUUUGCGUGGGUGUCGUCUGUAUACAACGCAUUUCCCGUGUAAUGAGUGUACCAAGAUGAUUCUUCAAGCACGAAUCACAGAAGUGGUGUAUGUCAUCGACAAGCACAGGGAAGAAACAACUUAUGUGGCUUCACGGAUAAUGAUGACACAGGCCGGCGUUAAGUUUCGGUAUAUCUGCACGUUCCACACUUAAUCAUGUCCAUAUGUGCUAUACUCACGUGGGGAAACCAUUGCAUGACGGACCGAAUUCCGGUGUAGCACGCUCCCCCAUGGCAACAUGUCCCGGAAGCCAGCAAGAUAGUGAUCGACUUUGAGAACAUGCGCGCCUUCAAGUUGUGAUCUACAUGACGAAUGUGCCGUAACAUGACCUGAUCUGAGCACGUUUGACAAUACCAACUGCGACGUUACUGCCGAUUUUAACAUGAGAUGUUUUUAAACCAUUUUUUUACGAACCUAUAAAGACGUCCCUGUCUGUUGCAGGAGGAAUCUC